rnacentral:rRNA from 1 species
AGUAAACGAUGCAGUCUGAAAAACAUUUAAUAAACUAAAACUUUCAACAACGGAUCUCUUGGUUCUGGCAUCGAUGAAGAACGCAGCGAAAUGCGAUAAGUAAUGUGAAUUGCAGAAUUCAGUGAAUCAUCGAAUCUUUGAACGCACAUUGCGCCCUU